CAGUCGCGCGGGAACACGGAGGGUGCAAGUGUUAAUCGGAAUUACUGGGCGUAAAGCGUGCGUAGGCGGUUCGUUAAGUCUGUUGUGAAAGCCCCGGGCUCAACCUGGGAAUGGCAAUGGAUACUGGCGAGCUAGAGUGUGUCAGAGGAUGGUGGAAUUCCCGGUGUAGCGGUGAAAUGCGUAGAGAUCGGGAGGAACAUCAGUGGCGAAGGCGGCCAUCUGGGACAACACUGACGCUGAGGCACGAAAGCGUGGGGAGCAAACAGGAUUAGAUACCCGCGUAGUCCCUGUCUCUUAUACA
rnacentral:rRNA from 1 species